AAACUACAACACUCUACUCUUUCAUUUCUUAGAGACAGAGCCUGAAUUUUUUAAAGUACUACUGAAGAAAAUUGAGGCAUUUUAUUAAAAUGAAGAUGCGGAAAAUAUGGAAAUCCCCUGUCUAGUUCAAAGUCAAGACUGCAUAGCUAAAUUUGAAGAUGGAGUUUAGUGCCAAGUCACUGAUUUCCCCGAUAAACUACUCUUGCUGAUUGCUUCUUGGCUUCGUGUAUUCAUCACUUAUAUAUUGUAUGUUGUUGCUUGGAUCUUCUGUUUCUGUUUGGGGCCUUGGUGCUGUGUUAAUGAAAGACUCAUGGGAAAUAUAACAUCUGGUGCUGGUACCCAGAGCAGAAGAGCUGCAAUUGAUUGGAACAUGGAGGGCUCCUUGUAGGUGCUAUAAAUUGCAUUGUCGG
rnacentral:lncRNA from 1 species